GAAGUCAUAGGACUUAUACGACUUAACUGCUUCUCUCCUAUAGACUCCAAGAUUAAAUACUGCAAGAGAACCAAGACAGAAGGAAGAGUCAGAGGAAGACAUGCAACGACACUCACAAAAGCAUAUACUGUGUCAAGUGUUUAUGAAAGGCCAUCUUUAGCUCAGGGAAGAGGAAUCUGACAAAACAAAGACCUGGCGAGAACAGACUUGACUCGAGAUUGAAGAGAUGUCGACAUUUUCAAGGCUCACGGCUGCCAAGAACAGGUCCGCCCUUCUGGACUCAGUCGAACCGUCUGAAGCAGCCACAGGUUUCUUCUGUCUGGCGGCCAUGAUGAUGCUGGUUUGGGGGCAGCGAGCUCUUGUCACUGGGGAAUUUGUUGCAACAUGCCAGACG